rnacentral:rRNA from 1 species
GACGAACGCUGGCGGCGUGCUUAACACAUGCAAGUCGAACGGAAAGGCCCUGCUUUUGUGGGGUGCUCGAGUGGCGAACGGGUGAGUAACACGUGAGUAACCUGCCCUUGACUUUGGGAUAACUUCAGGAAACUGGGGCUAAUACCGGAUAGGAGCUCCUGCUGCAUGGUGGGGGUUGGAAAGUUUCGGCGGUUGGGGAUGGACUCGCGGCUUAUCAGCUUGUUGGUGGGGUAGUGGCUUACCAAGGCUUUGACGGGUAGCCGGCCUGAGAGGGUGACCGGCCACAUUGGGACUGAGAGACGGACCAGAAUCCUACGGGCGGCAGCAGUGGGGAAUAUUGCACAAUGGGCGGAAGCCUGAUGCAGCAACGCCGCGUGCGGGAUGACGGCCUUCGGGUUGUAAACCGCUUUCGCCUGUGACGAAGCGUGAGUGACGGUAAUGGGUAAAGAAGCACCGGCUAACUACGUG